UGUAAUUGCUUUCUUCCAUUUUCCUUAAAGAUGGGAUAUAUCUGCCAGGGUGAUGCUUUGAUAGAUUUGGACCAAACUGAUGCAGCCGAGAAGUCAUACUCCAUGGCCUUAGAUUUAGAUCCAUUCACCCGUCGUUCAAAAUCUAUCAAGGAUUCUGACGAGUUAUAGAAGCAGAGGCGGCCUCUACUCGCUCAAUUCUUCUCACCCAUCCUUCUGAAGGUUAAUAUUUGUUAAUUAGCCACCAGAAAUGUGGAGGUCACUGUUAAGAAUCAAUUAUAUAUCAUGCCUUAAUUUUUCAGGCAUUUUCAGUUACCGUCUUGGUGAAUGGGGAGACAAGAGCCAGGCAUGCCAACUGCUUAUCAAGAGUAGUAGCAUAAAAUCUGCAUUAACUUCUAAUAUAGCUCCUUAUUUUAGCAAUUGUAUCAACUUUUCAGCUUGCCACCAUUGGUUUGGCUGCUGAUGAGAAUCCACUAGGAGUUCUUCUUGGAGGAAUACUGUAGGUUACUCCUUUGCGUAAAGCCUUAUGUUAUUGACUUCUUAUGUUCUCAACUAUGAAUGCCAUUCUAAUAUUGCUUUCUGGCUCUGUGCAACGUUUGAAGUCAGAAAAAGAUGUCAACUAAUCUUUCUGAUGAUUAGGAUUAUAGUUGAAAAAAAAAAAAAGAGUUAAAGACAUUAAUACAAGCACUCUCGGAUAUAAAUAGUCACAUAAUUGAGGUCGAGAAUCAGUUAGAUAAGCUGUUAUAUGAGUUAAUCUUUCUCAGGGGACAAGCUUUAUGUAUUGCUUUCCUAGGAGGGAAAUGCCUCACAUCUUCAAUAAUAUCAGUGACAUGGCUGUUAAAAAGCUUUCUUGGUAUAUUAUCAUCUCAUUAUACAUAUUUUAUAAAGAAGGGAUAUGGUGUAAUUGGAUAUAUUCCUGUACGUAUAUCUAUCUUGGACUGAUUAGCGAGGUGGAAGCUGCAAGGUCUAAUGAUCAUAACUUGAUUCUCUUUUAUGUUAUGUCAUUUACACUUUCAACAUUGAUAUAUAGGACUUGGUAUAUAUGGUUCAGGGCGUACAUUAGGCUGCUAUAAAGUGCAACGGGAGGGAGGCAAACACUAAUUUUGAGCUAAGCACAUAUGAAGGGGAAUGAAGUUCUAAGGCUGAUAAUGGAGGUAGUAUAUUAAGGCUUUCCCACAUAUUUGGAAUCCAUUAUGAUUGUUGUCCCUUUUAAGUCCUGUGCUUAUCGUGUUUAACGACAUAUUUUUUCCAUCCACUACCAUCCCUAAUGUAAUGAACUAGGGAAUAGACCCAUCUAUUUUAGCUGAUGACCAUGCAUUUGCUGAAGCAUCUGGGGAUGACACUAGAACUUCUAAGGAGUAUUAUUGGCUGAAAAGGAUAUGAAGCGGCAGUCAAAUGAAAUGAAACUGGGGAGGCAACAGUAAUACCAAUUACUCUGCGGCAACUAGAGGCCAUAGUGAGGUUGAGUAUGUAAUAAGAAUGAUUCAAAAAAUAAGAAUAACAAAUCU